GGGAGAUCAUGGAGGUGUGGGAGUUACAACCAUAAGUAUUGGAGUUGUGGGAGUUAUGGAGAAGAGUAGUGGGAGUAACUUCUUUAGGUGUUAUAGACAUCCACUACAAAGUAUAAUAUUUCAUAACAUUCUCCUCUUUUUCGCUUUUUAAUCAUAGUUUUAGGGUCACUUAUUAUUCAGGAGCUCGAAACAAUUAGCGCUUUCUACCAGCAUCUAAUGCUGAUAACUGUUUCGGCAAAAUAAUAUAAGUAACAGAAAGCAAAUAUCAUAACACGAGAAGGAUGCAGCCAACACGAGGCAGCAUCACCAGCCAGAGCGCCUGCAGUAUGGGAGCGGACGAAGUAGCUCUAUAGUGAAAUUAUCCCACAGCAUGUAACUUCCUUCUACUUCUAUAUGUGCUAAAGAGGAAAAAAAAGACAAAGAAAACCAAAGGAACACCGAAAUAGCAAUAAGAUAUUUCUCUUAAUUUACACAAAAAAGAGUGAGUUUGCUCGUUGUAAAAGAAUUCGGUCAUCCUACUUCUCUACAUAGAUAAUGGAAGAAGCAUCCUUCGCUUCUUUUUCCUGGCCGAUCUUACUUUCUUUGCUAUUUUCAUGCACAAAAGUAAUAGCAAGGUCACACAUACAAAAAUAAAAGCAAGCCUUAGAUGCCUGAAGUACAGUGAAACGGCAGAAAAAACCAGGAACGCUAAGAUAACCAGUUCCCAUAUCACAAAGAUGACGACAUCCACCCUGCAUCAACAAAGAGAACAAAUGAUAUAAGAGGAAAAGCGCAGAAGAAACAAAUUCUAAGUUACUACCAGAAGUGGUAACAAUGCGUAGACAAUGAUAAUCCUCCAUACAGGAAACUGCAAAAGGUUUUGUUUGAGAGACCUACACAACUCUAGGACCAAGCAGUAAGGAUCUAUUCACCAAAGUCUUCAUCCAGUCCAUUGUUAAAGGUAGGGUUGUAACAUUAUCACUCGAUCCAGCAUUUGCUGCCUCUACUUGUACUGAUAUAUUCGAUGUCCUUGAAUCAAUCUCUUGAAAUAAAUGACUAAUAACUCAUCCCGGCUUCUGGGAUUUUGAUUUGCGAAUUUCUUUUAUUACCAAAAACAAGUCAUCCGUG
rnacentral:lncRNA from 1 species